rnacentral:rRNA from 1 species
UACGGAGGGUGCAAGCGUUAUCCGGAUUUACUGGGUUUAAAGGGUGCGUAGGUGGACUAGUAAGUCAGUGGUGAAAGCCCAUCGCUCAACGGUGGAACGGCCAUUGAUACUGCUGAACUUGAAUUAUUAGGAAGUAACUAGAAUAUGUAGUGUAGCGGUGAAAUGCUUAGAGAUUACAUGGAAUACCAAUUGCGAAGGCAGGUUACUACUAAUGGAUUGACGCUGAUGGACGAAAGCGUGGGUAGCGAACAGG